rnacentral:rRNA from 1 species
UACGUAGGAGGCGAGCGUUGUCCGGAGUUACUGGGCGUAAAGGGUGCGUAGGCGGCGCGGUAAGUCGGGUGUGAAAUCUCGGGGCUUAACUCCGAAACUGCAUUCGAUACUGCCGUGCUUGAGGACUGGAGAGGAGACUGGAAUUUACGGUGUAGCGGUGAAAUGCGUAGAUAUCGUAAGGAAGACCAGUGGCGAAGGCGGGUCUCUGGACAGUUCCUGACGCUGAGGCACGAAGGCCAGGGGAGCAAACGGG